rnacentral:lncRNA from 1 species
GCGUCUUGGUGAAUUGAACAAUGAUCUUAGUGUUCAUUGCAGAAUCCCAGUAUGUAUAUUCUUCUAAGAUAGAUCUAGCAUUUCAAAUGUUGUCAACAAUUAUAAAUCGAUCUUGUUUAACUUCAUUUUAUCCAAGCAAAGUUCUGCAUUUAUCACGAAGUAGAUGCACAAAAACGAGUUUCUUAUUCUUAUUUGUCCAAUACAGGACUUGCUGCAGCCCAAGGUAACGUUUGCUCAUAACAAUCAAUGAAGGGAUGGUACACAGUUAGAUCCAUCAAGUAGCAGAGAAGGUUCUACCAGAAGUCAAGAACUAAUGUGUUGCUAGUUGUAUUUGAGCUAAGUUGUUUCUGCAUUAUGAUUCAGAGUGAUCAUGCUUGCUGAGACGAGCCUUCCCUUUACAGUGUAUCACAUUUGCAACAAUUGAUUUCUGUAUCCAAUUGAGGCAUUGGUGUGUGAUCUUAUGUGGUAAGAAUCUAAGCGUUCCACUAGAUUCUAAACGAGUUAUAUACAUAUGUUACGCGCUCUAUGUAAUGAACGAAAUCUUCUACUACUGUCCUUGAGAGAAGUUUUUUACUACUAUUUAUAGUAUAAAUACUUGCUUAAUCGUCUUGCAUUCUCGUUACUGCUUGUUUUUCGCGUG